rnacentral:rRNA from 1 species
UACGGGAGGCAGCAGGGGGAAUAUUGCACAAUGGGCGCAAGCCUGAUGCAGCCAUGCCGCGUGUAUGAAGAAGGCCUUCGGGUUGUAAAGUACUUUCAGUCGUGAGGAAGGUGUUAAGGUUAAUAACCUUAGCAAUUGACGUUAGCGACAGAAGAAGCACCGGCUAACUCCGUGCCAGCAGCCGCGGUAAUACGGAGGGUGCGAGCGUUAAUCGGAAUUACUGGGCGUAAAGGGCACGCAGGCGGUUAAUUAAGUUGGAUGUGAAAUCCCCGGGCUUAACCUGGGAAUGGCAUUCAAGACUGGUUAGCUAGAGUCUUGUAGAGGGGGUAGAAUUCCAUGUGUAGCGGUGAAAUGCGUAGAGAUGUGGAGGAAUACCGGUGGCGAAGGCGGCCCCUGGACAAAGACUGACGCUCAUGUGCGAAAGCGUGGGGAGCGAAACAGGGAUUAGAUACC